rnacentral:rRNA from 1 species
UACGGAGGUGGCAAGCGUUGUUCGGAAUCAUUGGGCUUAAAGGGCGUGCAGGCGGGAUGCCAGGUGCUGGGUGAAAUCCCCGAGCUCAACUCGGGAACUGCCCGGCAAACCGGUAUUCUUGAGGUAGGUAGAGGUGACUGGAACGACGGGUGGAGCGGUGAAAUGCGUAGAUAUCCGUUGGAACGCCGGAGGCGAAAGCGGGUCACUGGGCCUAUCCUGACGCUGAGACGCGAAAGCGUGGGUAGCAAACAGG